AUACGGAGGGUGCAAGCGUUAAUCGGAAUUACUGGGCGUAAAGGGUACGUAGGCGGUUAAAUAAGUUGGAUGUGAAAGCCCCGGGCUCAACCUGGGAACUGCAUUCAAAACUGUUUGACUAGAGUGUAUGAGAGGUUGGCGGAAUUCCAGGUGUAGCAGUGAAAUGCGUAGAUAUCUGGAGGAACAUCAGUGGCGAAGGCGGCCAACUGGCAUAACACUGACGCUGAGGUACGAAAGCGUGGGGAGCGAACGGGAUUAGAUACCCCAGUAGUCC
rnacentral:rRNA from 1 species